UGGGGAAUAUUGCACAAUGGGCGGAAGCCUGAUGCAGCGACGCCGCGUGGGGGAUGAAGGCCUUCGGGUUGUAAACUCCUUUCGACAGGGACGAAGCUUUUGUGACGGUACCUGUAUAAGAAGCACCGGCUAACUACGUGCCAGCAGCCGCGGUAAUACGUAGGGUGCGAGCGUUGUCCGGAAUUACUGGGCGUAAAGAGCUCGUAGGUGGUUUGUCGCGUCGUCUGUGAAAUUCCGGGGCUUAACUCCGGGCGUGCAGGCGAUACGGGCUGACUUGAGUGCUGUAGGGGAGACUGGAAUUCCUGGUGUGUCGGUGAAAUGCGCAGAUAUCAGGAGGAACACCGAUGGCGAAGGCAGGUCUCUGGGCAGUAACUGACGCUGAGGAGCGAAAGCAUGGGUAGCGAACAGG
rnacentral:rRNA from 1 species